rnacentral:rRNA from 1 species
GACGAACGCUGGCGGCGUGCUUAACACAUGCAAGUCGAACGGAAAGGCCCUGCUUUUGUGGGGUUCUCGAGUGGCGAACGGGUGAGUAACACGUGAGUAACCUGCCCUUGACUUUGGGAUAACUUCAGGAAACUGGGGCUAAUACCGGAUAUGAGCUCCUGCUGCAUGGUGGGCGUUGGAAAGUUUCGGCGGUUGGGGAUGUUCUCGCGGCUUAUCAGCCUGUUGGUGUGGUAGUGGCUUACCAAGGCUUUGACGGGUAGCCUGCCUGGGAGGGUGACCGGCCACCUUGGGACUGAGGUAGGGACCAGAAUGCUACGGGAGGCAGCAGUGGGGAAUAUUGCACAAUGGGCGGAAGCCUGAUGCAGAAACGCCGCGUGCGGGAUGACGGCCUUCGGGUUGUAAACAGAUUUCGCAUGUGACGAAGCGUGAGUGACGGUAAUGGGUAAAGAAGCACCGGCUAACUACGUG